CCUACGGGGGGCAGCAGUGGGGAAUCUUGCGCAAUGCGCGAAAGCGUGACGCAGCAACGCCGCGUGAGGGAAGACGGCCUUCGGGUUGUAAACCUCUUUCAGGAGGGACGAAGCCUGGCUGGUGAAUAGCCAGUCCAGGUGACGGUACCUCCACAAGAAGCCCCGGCUAACUACGUGCCAGCAGCCGCGGUAAUACGUAGGGGGCAAGCGUUGUCCGGAAUUAUUGGGCGUAAAGAGCGCGUAGGCGGUCCAGUAAGUCGGUUGUGAAAGUCGGGGGCUCAACCCUCGGAUGCCGAUCGAUACUGCUGGGCUAGAGUCCGGAAGAGGCGAGUGGAAUUCCUGGUGUAGCGGUGAAAUGCGCAGAUAUCAGGAGGAACACCAAUGGCGAAGGCAGCUCGCUGGGACGGUACUGACGCUGAGGCGCGAAAGCGUGGGGAG
rnacentral:rRNA from 1 species